rnacentral:lncRNA from 1 species
CGACUACAAAAAGUAGAUCAGAGCCUUGCUCCGACGUCGGCGGCGCGUGAGCGCUUGUACCGGUGCCGGAGGCGUCACUCUUCCCCUCCUCUGUUCGUUUGAUCUUUGCUCAUCUUUCGUUGCUUCAUCCCCUUCGUCUUGUUGUUGUUUCUGUCACUAGAGGUUACACUGGUCUAGAUCUCUUUCGCGAGGAGCUCGACACCGGUUUGUUGUCUUCUUAUGUUGGAGCAUGGCGCGGAGCUGGAUUAACUGUCGUUGAAGUGGGUCGGCUUUUUAGGGUUUCAAGGGGGCGUUUUCGUUUUUUGCCCCUUGGCGAGUAGGCGGUGCGUGGAGGCGGAGUUUAGGCCCACGGUUGUUGUCGUGGUGGUAGGUUUGCGGAUCUGCUCUCUUGAUCUCUAGUGGUGUGCUGUCGGUCGAUUGGUAUGGUGUGUUGCCUCGGUGUCUUGGCGAUUCGCGUCCUCUUUAUCGGCAUCCCGUGGUCUUUGUCUAAGAGGUAGUAGUCUUGCCUAGGAAGGCGGAGUACGGUCCCAGCGAAAAAACAAAACAUUCCGGGUUCCCAAGGAACUCCGGGUCCUUAUGCAAGUCCCCGAUCUAAAGAGGAAACCCACACUACAAAAAAAGUCCUCAUUGAUAGCACAUGACUAUAGCACGUUUUACUGAACUGCUAUCGUAGAUGAGUCUAAAAUUUGCUUAUUAUAUAAUAGGGUUAAUUAAACGCUAUGGUAGAGUUUCACUAAGUGGGAACCUAAAAUUAGCUUUACCGCGGCACACUUAGUGAAAAAAGACUAAUCUGAUUAUUUUCCCUCUCUCCACUCGCGAAAGACAUUUCUUUUUCUCAUUUUCCCCUCUUUCUCUAGUAACCCUAAAAAAAUUCGACCACAAUCUCCAUCUCUAAAACCGUAAUCCGCUAAUCCAGAACCGAAAUUAAGCUUGCCCGACUGUCGAACAGCCGACCUCCCCUCCCGGAGGUAGUACCACUGGACUACGAGGUCCUGGGUAUCACUCAUAAACUUCAUACAAACGAUCUAUCAUUUUCAUUAGUUAAACUCAGUUCGAUACAAACGAAUAUAUCCUUUUCGUUAGUUAAACUCAGUCCGAUACAAAAGAACAUAUCUUUUUCAUUAGUUAAACUUCAUUAAUCACUAUCUUUUAUCAUUUUCUUGACAAUUAUCUACGUGUAAAACACUAUUUCUUCACCCAUUUAAUUUAGAGGAUGUACAAAGGUUAAGACUAGCAGUUGGAUCUAUAUUCAUAAUCGUCGACGAACAUUAGGUAUCAACAACUUUUUUCUUUUCAUGUAAGUAUACUUCGUUUUAUACCUUGCCACAUAAUAAUUCGUUUGAUAUGAUUAACUUCUCAAUCUAGUAUAAAUGUUUUUUUUUUUUGCUUAAAAUCUAGUAUAAAUGUUUAGGUGGUAACAAGAGAAUGGUUGUUACAGUAGACACCAAAGUAUCAGACCAAACAGUCAUGAAACAUCUAAACCGUCAAUUAUAUUUUUCAUCAACGACUCGAACCUUCAACAUAUAACCAAAACAAACAUUCGUAAUAUAAUUCACGAAUAAAAAUAAAAUAAAAAAAAAAAAAAAAAAAAAAAAAAAAAAACUUCAAUCUCUUUCUCCUCACCUCUCUCUCUCUACCCCGACUACAAAAAGUAGAUCAGAGCCUUGCUCCGACGUCGGCGGCGCGUGAGCGCUUGUACCGGUGCCGGAGGCGUCACUCUUCCCCUCCUCUGUUCGUUUGAUCUUUGCUCAUCUUUCGUUGCUUCAUCCCCUUCGUCUUGUUGUUGUUUCUGUCACUAGAGGUUACACUGGUCUAGAUCUCUUUCGCGAGGAGCUCGACACCGGUUUGUUGUCUUCUUAUGUUGGAGCAUGGCGCGGAGCUGGAUUAACUGUCGUUGAAGUGGGUCGGCUUUUUAGGGUUUCAAGGGGGCGUUUUCGUUUUUUGCCCCUUGGCGAGUAGGCGGUGCGUGGAGGCGGAGUUUAGGCCCACGGUUGUUGUCGUGGUGGUAGGUUUGCGGAUCUGCUCUCUUGAUCUCUAGUGGUGUGCUGUCGGUCGAUUGGUAUGGUGUGUUGCCUCGGUGUCUUGGCGAUUCGCGUCCUCUUUAUCGGCAUCUGAGAGCUUCGGAGGUUUCCAUAAACUCGAAGGUUAGCUUAGCCAACGGCGCUGGCAUGUGUCAGUUCCGGCGGUGGUGGCAUCUAGAGACUUGUUGUGUUGCGCUACUUCGUCGUCUAUGGCUGCGGCGUUGCAAUGCGUGCGGUCUUCCUCUCACCUACUUUCUCCUCUUCCCGGUGCUUGUACUACUGGUUCCAUUGCAGAAGCCAAGUCGACUGGUUUCAGUGGUGAUUAGCUCGUGUUUUAUAUGGUUGUUUGUGAUGAUGUUGUCGGCUCAACAAUGUGACAGCUUUGGUUCUUCGUCCUUCGGUUCUUGGAGGAGACGACUGGCGGUGUUUGUGAUGGAUUCCCGAGUAUGUGCUUCAUUUUUCUCUCACCGGUGGCACAAGUCAGAUUGAUGGCAUAUCCCAGUGCCAAGAGGCAUCCACUACA